rnacentral:lncRNA from 10 species
UGUCAUCUGCAGCCCUCGGCUAUGUGAGCACCACCAGCGACAGACAGAUGAUUUAACGCAGAUGUGGGCAGCAGUGCUUCCCCCCUUGGAGACAUAAGAAGGAGAAACACUGAAUAAAUGUAACAAGUUAAAGCACAGAGAAAUGGGCUUAAUACCUUCACCCAUCUGCCAGUCAGGUCUGCGAAGAACAGGCAUUUAAGGAGAGAAAUGCAAGAGUUCUCUGCCGCUGAAUUCCCCCACCUGGCACAUGAUAUGAGCCUGCACCUCAAUAGCCUCCUGCCUGCACCCUGACAGCCUCCUGCCUGCAUUCCUGCUCACUUCUCCAGUUCCAGUGGAGGCAAAGACUCUGACCCAUCCUGGUACUUCCCUGUGUGGCCCCUCUGUGGCAUGGCCCCUGCUCUUGGUACCUAACAUAAUUUUGGACACAGUGAAUUUUGGACACAUGAACUGCAAGAAAGAUCUGAAGUGAGACUCGGGAUACAGAAUAGAAGUACCGGGGCACAGAGUCCAGUCCAGCAGAAUGGAGACUAAUUCUGUGGCCCGGCUUCACUGGCUCCACCAGCAAAGAGCAGAGAAGAGGAGAAGCAGCUGGACAUUGGAGACUAUGGUUGGACAUCAGAGGGAGGCAGCUUGACUUCAGAGGGGCAGCUUGAUGGUGUUGCUUUGGAGAGGAGUCCAGCUGGAGAUGGCUAGACUUGGGGAAAAUCACCUUCCAGCUCCAUCCCCUUGCCAGUUCUCCUUCCUGCUGAGACCCACUUUCACUGGCAAUAAAAUCCUCCAUGUUCACCACCCUUCCAUUUGUUUGUGUGACCUGAUUUUUCCUAGAUUCUGAACAAGAGCUCAGAUACCACGAGUGCACAUGCAAAAGGCUGUCACACUGACCCUCUGCCCUCACUGGUGGAAAGCAGCCGCCUCAUGCGAAAAGG